rnacentral:lncRNA from 1 species
UGGCAGCAUGCGAGUGGCCAGUACUACCACAUCAACAAAAUUUUUGGCAUCGUUAGGCUUAGGUACCAAAUUAGUGGAUAGAAAUAAAGUUCGGGUACCAAUCUGAGAUUAAAAAAAAUCAUGAGUAUCAAUCUGGGAGAAGUGGAUAGGUUCGGGUACCAACUUUAUAUUUAACCUUAUUAAAUUUUCAUUAAUAAAAACUAAAAAUUAUAUAAACUAAUAUAAUAAAUAUAAAAAAU